UCUCCAUCUGUAGUUGUUUCAGUGACCCC
rnacentral:piRNA from 1 species